rnacentral:ncRNA from 7 species
UUGGACUACAUAUGGUUGAGGGUUGUA